GAUGAACGCUAGCGGGAGGCCUAACACAUGCAAGCCGAGCGGUAGAGUUUCUUCGGAAACUUGAGAGCGGCGCACGGGUGCGUAACACGUGUGCAACCUACCUUUAUCUGGGGGAUAGCCUUUCGAAAGGAAGAUUAAUACCCCAUAAUAUAAUGAUUGGCAUCAAUUAUUAUUGAAAACUCCGGUGGAUAGAGAUGGGCACGCGCAAGAUUAGAUAGUUGGUGAGGUAACGGCUCACCAAGUCAAUGAUCUUUAGGGGUCCUGAGAGGGAGAUCCCCCACACUGGUACUGAGACACGGACCAGACUCCUACGGGAGGCAGCAGUGAGGAAUAUUGGACAAUGGGUGAGAGCCUGAUCCAGCCAUCCCGCGUGAAGGAUGACGGUCCUAUGGAUUGUAAACUUCUUUUGUACAGGGAUAAACCUACCCCCGUGAGGGUAGCUGAAGGUACUGUACGAAUAAGCACCGGCUAACUCCGUG
rnacentral:rRNA from 1 species